AGUGAACGCUGGCGGUAGGCCUAACACAUGCAAGUCGAACGGCAGCACAGUAAGAGCUUGCUCUUACGGGUGGCGAGUGGCGGACGGGUGAGGAAUACAUCGGAAUCUACUUUUUCGUGGGGGAUAACGUAGGGAAACUUACGCUAAUACCGCAUACGACCUACGGGUGAAAGCAUGUGAUCUUCGGACCUUGCGCGAUUGAAUGAGCCGAUGUCGGAUUAACUAGAUGGCGGGGUACAGGCCCACCAAGGCGACGAUCCGUAGCUGGUCUGAGAGGAUGAACAGCGACAAAGGAACUGAAACAACGUACAGGCUACGACGGAAGGCCCCACUGGCGACGUAUGUACAAUGAGCGCAAGACUAAUCCAGCCCAACGCAGCAGGUGAAGAACUCCUGCGGGUUUUAAAGCCCUUUUGUUCAGAAAAACAAGCAACAGCUGAAUUCCUAGCUGUACUGACGAUACCCAAAGAAUAAGUACCGGCAAAAUUCGUG
rnacentral:rRNA from 1 species